rnacentral:lncRNA from 1 species
GGGAGAUCCAGGCUGAGCUUUAGUUGUUUCUUUGUGGGGUGAGUCUUUAGAGUCUGAAACAUUACCUGAAAGAACAAAAACAAAAUACAAACAACGGCAAAUGCUAGGAAACUACCGAAGAAAUGUCAACGCCUAAAAACAGCUGCUCAUUUGCCACCAACAACAGCAGUCUACAAUUCUGAAGUACCAUAUGAAGCACAGACUACAUAGAUAAUCAGCACCACAAAAUAGUCUACACACACCAUCACUGCUCCUGAUUCUCCAAGAAGCCUGUGGGAUACCCACACCAACAAUUCAAAGCGCCUGAAAUGAAGUUAAACAUCACACUGCUGAAAGCAGAAGUUACAAGCUCAGAAAAUGACCACUUGGACCUCAAAAUAUGCAAGAAGCAAAAUGCCAGCG